rnacentral:lncRNA from 1 species
UGUGUAUGAAAAAUACGAAGAAAUACCAAGCACCUGUCUUACAAGUGAGGCAAUGUUUUUACCGCUGGUUGAGAUGCUUGAUGCUUGGCAAACGCCGUACACAGGAGGCCUGAUGGCUGCGGAGGGGCUUUCUCACAGCAGACCGGCGGACAUCAUUUUCCUUCAAGAGGUUGUAAAGUUUGCGGAUUCUGCUAGAUCUUUCCGGCUCCAGGCAAUGAGGCACCGUAGUAUCAGUGAUGAGGUGCUGCCACUGUGUCAGGAUGGGACACUGAGAACUCGUGCUGGGAAGAGAGCAUCGUGUGACUCCCAAAGAGCAGCCUGUGAAGGGACUGAUCUGAGUUGCUCAGAGUAUUGGGCACAGUGCACAGCACAAGCCUGGCGUGUGUACACAGUAGGAGGGGCGGACUGA